UGAGACACUGAACAUUGCUUUCUGACCUAUGCUUUUCUGGGUUUGAUCCCAAUCUGCUUUUGGAUCCCAAAUCUAGCUGCCUGAACAUCUGCCUGUCUUCUACUACCCCUUCACUGGUGUGAUAAACAGUAUAAAAUACUGUAAAUGCUCCAUACAUGCUCUUCAAAAAUAAACUCAAAAAGUACCUCUUGGAGACAGACACUGCAGCACUUCAUAUCCUCCUAUCUGUGCCUGUCUGUCAUUAGAUGUCACAGGGUCCCGCAGUGAAGUCAAUUGAGAACCCCAAAACAUGUGGUAUACGGCAGCAAAUAUUUUACGGAUAACCUAUACCAGUUGUCUAUGUUUGAGGAAGCCUUUUUGAUGUUUUCGGCAUUGAGGAUUUCCAUGUCCUGGACUGACAGCUUUUGAAGACCUGCUUCCUGUAGAAAUUUGAGACCAUCUAUCUGAUCGUCUGUGGGUGUACUAUACAAAGUUUUAAAAUGGGUAACCAGGAUGUCUUUUAUUUGGUUGGGGUCUUUAGUCCAUCCUUGUAGGAUUUUUAGUCUUUGUAUAUAACGGUUAAUUGUUUUUUGGGCUGCUAUUUUGGCUUUCCUGAUUUGUUUCAACAUAUUUCCUGUGUGCUUUAUUUUAAGUGUCUAAAAGCUGUUUUGUCUCCUUGUAUUUAUUUUUGUCUUCCAGGGAAUUGGUAAUUUUAAAAGCUGUGUAGUGUGUGUUCAAUUCCUUUUGUAGAAGGGUAUAUUUCUCUGAAAACUUUUUCCUCUUUUGCAUUAAGUAGGACAUAAUAUGUCCCCUCAGAAAAAGUUUUGAAGCAGCCCAAAGCAGGUGGGGGUCUUCCAGUACAUAAUAUUAUCAUAUAUUUAGUUAGCCCAACAAGAUUUCAAAAAAUAGGGAGAAAUUAUCAUUGGUAGCUAGGUAUGCUAGGAACCUCCAGUUGGAUGAACGUGGUUGGGGUUUUGGUCUUUCUAGCUGCAUUGAUAUUAUAGAAUUUUCAGAGAUGUCUAUAGGGUAUAUCUUAGCUGUGGUUAGAUUGGGCAGCAGCAUCUGUGAGACAAAUAUAUAAUCUAUACUGGAGUGAGUCUCAUGGACCCCAGAGUAAUAGGUGUAGUCCUUAGUAAUAGGUUGCAAUUAUCUAUAGGUAUCGCAUAUAUGUAGCAGUUUACAUAAUGCGUGUAAAGGUUUGGCUCUGGCAUGUGAACGUGGGGUGGGUUUACCUGAUUUGUCCAUAUAGCUGUCCCACACCGCAUUGACAUCUCCACCAAGUAUGAUGUUUGUUACCCCCAGGAGCUUAUCCAUUGUAAGACAUCUGUAAAGAAACAUUUAUUAUCAGUAUUAGGAGCAUAUACAUUUACUACUGUGCAUUUGGUAUCUUGGAUUUUUAUGUCUGCUAUUAAAUAACGCCCUUUCUUAUCGUUGAGCACUGCAGGGAUUUGUUAAUUAAUAUCACUACACCUCUAGACUUAAAUUUAUAGGAUGCUGUUAGGACUGUUUGGAUGCACUGAGUGUUUGGUUCUCUUUGUGGAGGAGUCCUGUUGUUUUUUCUCUCUGGGUCUGGUAUUAGUUGUUUCUUAAAGCAUUGUAGAGUUUUGUCCCAGAAUUUUUUCCAUCUUGUUGUAGGAAUUUUUGGUGGUGGACAGGAUCAGAGUCCAAUAAAGUUGCUUAAGGUGAUAUCUUCCUUUUGUCUUCAAUGUAGAAUGAUCUCAUAGUCAGUUGUGUCAUGCUUUUAUAUAGUAUAGCAGAGGAAACCCAAAUGUGAGUUUCCUAUUGUAGUUAAUUCCUGCAAUGGUAUGGUUGAAUUUGCAAUUCAGGGUUAUUUGGUAUUUAGAAUACCCGUUGCGUGUCACAGCAUGUGUGCGUCAGAUAGCUGUAUGGUGCUCGCCCUCCCGUGACCAAUUAUGCUGUUGUCAGGUCUAAAAAGUUGUGCACAGGGGCUCACCAUUUUGGAUUUUAUUAGAAGUGAAAGUGACACACACAUGUUCUGGGCAGCUGUUGAAAAGCAAAACUUAGGCCUUUCAUGCAUCAAAGAAACUGAUACUACAAGAAUGAUUAUUAAAUUGUAAUGCAAAUUGCACUGAUUUCUGAGCUGCCAUGUAAUGGGUAUCUGAAUUAAUUACUAAUCAGCCUUGUAUUGUGACUUCUAUAAAUUAAGGGACAAAUACUGUAUAUCAACAUGUGGCAUUAGCUCACCACAGAAAACACACCCACUUUCUUUUUAUUUCUAUGGAAUUUUAUAAGGGUGUUUAUCAAUGGGUAAAAGUUCACCAUUUGAUAAAAAAAUGCUAUAGACAGGAAUAGAAAAUGGAUAUGUUUUUACUGUGGUGAGCUCUAAUUUUAUAUUUUCAUCAAUCUGCCCAAUAGUAGAUUGUGAGUCAGUUCCUAAGCUCAGGUAGGUGACAGCAGCACAGAUCAUAUAUUGUUGUUAAUCAGCAAAAAGAAGUCGGGGUGGCACUUGGGGGCACUUGAAUAGUUUGAAUACAAAAAUAUUCGACUUUCGAAGUAAUUUUUUGGGUACUUCGACCAUCGAAUUGGUCAAAUUCGACCGAAUUUGGUUGAAUCAAAUGAUUCGAACGAUUUG